UACAGAGGUCUCAAGCGUUGUUCGGAUUCAUUGGGCGUAAAGGGUGCGUAGGCGGCGCGGUAAGUCGGAUGUGAAAUCUCGGAGCUUAACUUCGAAACUGCAUUCGAUACUGCCGUGCUUGAGGACUGGAGAGGAGACUGGAAUUUACGGUGUAGCGGUGAAAUGCGUAGAUAUCAGGAGGAACACCGGUGGCGAAAGCGGCUCACUGGACCGUUGCUGACGCUGAGGUGCGAAAGCUAGGGGGAGCAAACGGGG
rnacentral:rRNA from 1 species